CCGGUGGGGCGGCCCCGCCGCAGGCCCCGGUAGCAGAGCGGCCGGAACGGGUCAGCGACUCAGACCGGACGGGCUGCAGCGUGGCAGGGGACGGUGGAUCCCGCAGUCCGGGACAGAGAGGAGGGAGCAGGUUUGCGUUACGGCGUCUGGCCCGGUCGCCCACACUGCUUUGAGAUUCUGCCGGACGUCAAACUGCAACCCGCCGUGCAGCAAUUUUUCGUCACCGCUACCGGGCCCGUUCACGAGGGGCAGCGGGGAGACCUGCAGCUGCCGCCGGACAUCCGCGUGUCUGAGGGCAUCCAGGCUUCCCCCCUCAGUUACUUGUCUGAAAGAUUCACGGCAUCUUCGCAAUCUUUCAUCGCAAGUCAAGCCCUCUGGCCGCUCUUCCUUCUCUCCCCACUGGCUUUCCAGUUGCCUGCUUUGAAACUUACACCUCCUCCAUGAGUCCUUAGAGUUAAUAACAAUUGAAUCCUAAUCCAUAAGGCUUGUGGUAAUUUUUCUGACAGUGACAUGAAGCAGCAUCACAUUAUGCUCCUCUACCACCUAUCUCAAAAUUUAGAACACUGUCAGAGCAAAUCAAUCUUAUAUUAGGCAUGAAAAACAGGAUCUGAGAAACAUAAACAUUAUUUUUAUUAAAAAGAACAUUAAGAGUUGGAUUCUUAGUCUGCUGUGAGCAGAAAUUGAUUCAGAAAACAUAAACAGUCAAAAAAUUCAUCUGCCAUUCUAGAGACUCACGAUGAGACAGGAUAAGAGCUCUGAAAUCUUUAUAGUAAUAAAUGGCAAUUUUCAUUUC